CCGCUACAUAUUCCAAAAAUUUUGAAAUCUCUGCAAGCAUACCGGAUCACCCUAUGAUGGCAUUUCCUAACAAAAAUGCCCCUAUUAUAUCCAUCUUUCUCAUUUUCUACUAUUUUCAAGUUCCAACUAACUUAAGUAUUGGAGGCUCCUCCAUAUGAAAAUCUUUAGUGAGUGUGGACUUCCUUAGCAGGUGCUCCAAGAUGAAGACACUCCAAUCAGUCACCAG
rnacentral:lncRNA from 1 species